UGGGGAAUAUUGGACAAUGGGCGAAAGCCUGAUCCAGCCAUGUCGCGUGUGUGAAGAAGGUCUUCGGAUUGUAAAGCACUUUAAGUUGGGAGGAAGGGCAUUAACCUAAUACGUUAGUGUUUUGACGUUACCGACAGAAUAAGCACCGGCUAACUCUGUGCCAGCAGCCGCGGUAAUACAGAGGGUGCAAGCGUUAAUCGGAAUUACUGGGCGUAAAGCGCGCGUAGGUGGUCUGUUAAGUUGGAUGUGAAAUCCCCGGGCUCAACCUGGGAACUGCAUUCAAAACUGACUGACUAGAGUAUGGUAGAGGGUGGUGGAAUUUCCUGUGUAGCGGUGAAAUGCGUAGAUAUAGGAAGGAACACCAGUGGCGAAGGCGACCACCUGGACUAAUACUGACACUGAGGUGCGAAAGCGUGGGGAGCAAACA
rnacentral:rRNA from 1 species